UGUCAGGGAGGACGUGAGUUCAUCCGAUGCGAAGCUCAUUUUCUGGCUGACGAAUCGCAGGUCUCCGACCCCCCGUGAAAGUUCACAGGGAAUAUCCUGCUCAGAUCAGCUCCGUUACCACACGAACCCAGGAGUGGGGGCUAUAUGGAAACCCCCGCCCUCCAAAAGCCAUGAGCCCCCUCCCACGGGGAUCUGACAGCAGGACCUGCCUUGUGGGACCCUCAGGAGAAACCCCUCACCACGGCUGAUCCCACAUGCACUCUCCUCCUCCUCCAACCAGCAGACCCUGGCCCGGAGCACGACGUAGAUCAUGAUCUGCACCGGCGUCCGUCCAGGCUGACCGGGGCUGCUGCCCAGCAGUGGGGACACAGCACCAGCUCAGGGACGCACAGGUGGAGAGAGGACACCAGGACGUCCCCAUCCCACUGCUGAACGUCACCCCAGGGACCUCUUGCUGGUGAAGAACACAAAGCUGGAAGGA